rnacentral:lncRNA from 1 species
CCCUGUCGGCCUCCCAAAGUGCUGGGAUUACAGGUGUGAGCUACUGUGCCCAGGCACUCAAAACAUUUUUAUAGCAUUUACUUGAGAAGUUCUCUCAAGAAUACAGGCCUCAUUUGGAAUCACUUAAAAAAUUGCAAAUACUCAUGAUAUUGGAGAUGGAUUGGUUUUUGGAAGGAGCCAAAAUGAUUUUGCACUGGGCUAAUAAAUAAGGGGGUCAAUGGGGUCAGAUCCACUGAGCACCAAAAUAAACAAAACAAAACCCUGAGUUUUAACUAUAAACAAACUCAACUAAAUUCUUUAGAAUAGUUUAAUGUACUAGUUUGGAAGGGACUUCAAAAAGUAGUUCCAACAAGAUUUUGAACAACAGAAUCAUCUUCAUUCACAAUAGCAACUAAUUUAUUGAGCACUUAGUAUGUGCCAGGCACUUUGCAAGUAUUUGACAUACAUUCUGUCACUUACGUUUCAGGAAACCUGCCAAUCUCUUAUACCCAUCUUACAGAAGAUAAGGAAGAGACAACUGGUUAUGAACUAAGUCAAAGCCUCAGGCCUCCUUUUACCAUCCUCUGUCACCCCUCAAAUCAAAUAGGUUUUAUUUCUCUGCUGUUGCCUGGCAACGGAGAUGUGGCAAGAGAUGUCAGAGGUUAAGGAGCAGACUAAAGUCAUUAUGGAAAGCAAGCUCUUAUCAGCAUUUUCCAUCUAACUUUGUAAUCUUUGAAAUAAAAUAGUUUUCAUUGUAUCAAAUGUCUGUAAUUUUUUUCUUAUCAAAUGCCAAGUAUUUAGAGACAUUUUUUUCUUUCUGAAUAUAAGUCCACUACACAUGGAGAAUUAUAAUUAUGUGCAUUGCUUUGAAAUUUUGAAAUGGGCUUCUCUAUUACACUAGCAUACUUUGAAGGUUAAAGUGAAAAACUGGCAUUCUGAAGCCAUGUACUAUGCCAAAAGUAGUUGUGAACACAUUUGAAAGCAUUCCAAGAAGUAUCAGAAACAAAUAUUGGCUCUAAAUAAUAUCCUCACUUUGAACCAUUAGUUAAUGUUGAAUUAAAUUCUAUUUUCAAAUACAUUGGCCUGCCUAUUAGAAAAUUAUUCUUUAGAGAAAGGAACCCAAAAUGUUCUAUAGGUUCUCUUGUCUCUAUUUUGAAAUGGAAAGGAAUGUGACCAAGAUUUAAGCAUCAUCUUUAGAGUUUAUUUUUUUCAGCCUAUUCUGUACCAAAUGCAAGGCUCCUAAGGAUUUGUUGCUCAUAGGUGAUUAAUUGUACUCAGCGUGACACAGUUUAAGACUUCUCCAGUGGGGAUAGCACAAUAGGCUUUCAUGGCAUUUCAUUUCUAGGCAGUGGGUUGGUUUCAUGAGUCCUAACCCAAAUUUUAAACGUUUACAAAUUACUGCUAUAAAGGUUAAGCGACCUGAGUUAGAAUCAUAUCCCACAUUGGUUUAAAGUGGAUCCAGAGUUAUUUUUGGAGAAAGAUUUUUAUCCCUGCUGGUUGAUCCUCCUUCAUUUCAUCUCUGAGAGAAACCACAGUGGCUAUCCAUUGAGGGAUAUGUCCUUACAUUUCAUCAGGGCAAAAUAACUCCACCCUUCCUCCAUUCCCAAAUAUGUUGGCAACACUGCACUCCAAGUUUCAGUCAGAGACUAUAAGCCAAGACUCUGGGUUGGAUAAUUCUUCUCAAAAGCCCAGUUGGGAAAAAUAUAUCCAUGAAAGUAAUUGCCUGAAGGAUAUAGGGACUGCCUGUUCCUCACAAUUUCCUGCAUUUCACUCUUGGCUAGACCUGCGUACUUGGAAUCAUUAGCCCUUUCAGAACUGCUUGUCCUUGCUUAGGUUUGUGCACUACGUAAAUAACCAUAUAUUGAUGAGGUCAGAGUCAGACGACAGUCUCACCAGUAGGCUUGGGAGUCUCCCACUCUACAUGUGAAAAGGAUGCUAUCUAAGUUGUUGCUUUUUACAUUACCAGUUAAGAACAUCCAUGGAAGAAACUUGUCUUAGGUUUUAGUACUAGGAAAACUUGGGGUUUUAUGUUACAGAUAUUUCAUAUCUUCACGUUCAUGUUUUCCUCUUCACUUUCACUGCUAGGAAUCUAAGAGCCAAAUUCCCAACCCACCUUUGUCAACUGUAAAAGACAUUAAAAAUAUACAUUUACCCUACUUAUUUUUCCUUGGCUUUAAUUUUGCUUCCCAUAUUUUCUUUGCAUCCUGACAUCGUCAACUAUUUAUGCUACUGGAAUAAUUGGGAUGCCUACCUAGAGUGCCUUUGUUUUAGAAUAAAGUGGGAUGUGAAUUUAAACAACUAACAACAAACAAAACAGUCACAUGGAAGAGAGAGAAGUUGAUUUUCUUAUUUGAACUUCUGAGUUUGUUUCU